CUGGAAACCUCUUGGCUUCAGCUGCAAGUUUUAGAGAUCAGGCACCUAGGUUUUACCUAUAAAUGGCUCAUGACUGGUGGUCUUUCUUGACCCUUACAUAGAUAUUCACCUCAGGUUUUCCCCUUUCACAAAGAAUGAGAUCUGCCUUUUGUCAUCAACCAGAAGUGAUCUAGAUGGAAAAAAUCUGGCAAUGGCUGCCUCUUACUAUUCUUAUUGGAAAAACUGGCUUUGCUGAUUGAGGUAACCCACUCAUCCUUGUUCCUUCCCUUCCCUGAAAAGAUAGCAAUGAGCCUUGGAGACUUGAGGAAUGUGGCAUGAUGUUUGGGCUCAUGGGCAGCAAAACUAGAAAGAAGAGUGGAACCAAAUGAAUCUUGGAUGGUGGUGUUCAUCACUUGUCCUGAGUACUACACAUGUACAUUUUAGUUGCUCUUUUCAGUCCUCAUCUUUGUGUCCUUCUUUUUUCAGGAUUUGAAGACCUGUUGUGGCAGCAGCAAGCCAGUCUCAUGCUGCAUGGAUGGGUAAAGACUAUAUGUGAAAGUCCUUCUGCUCUAGUAUUGGUUGAUUCUCAGUGAACAAUCCUGACAACCACGAAGGAACUCACAGUGGACUGCCCAGGGUUGUCUGGAACAUUGUGGGGAUCCAGCACCUUGGGGCCAGCAUCUGCCCUCUGAGUCCCUCCAACUUCUUCGUGGUUGGAGACAACUGGGUGACUCUCCCUUGAAUCUCAGAUCUCCUACUUUGUUUCUGGUCCUGAGUUUUAUUCAUCUAGUUGUUUUGACUCCUUGACAAAGAGGUAAGUUCUUCCUUGAGAUAUUUUGUUUCUCCAGAAGGGAAAUUUUCCUAGUUGAAAGUUACUAGGAAGAAAUGGCUGCAUGUAUAACACACAUGGAAACUGUACUGCCAAGUAACUCCCUAGAUGGGAGGAGUUUACCAAAGGAGAUGAGGGUUGAAAAAUUCCACCUUUGACACAAUAUUCGUUAUUUGGGUGAUGAGUAUACUUGAAGGACAAACCUCAUCAUUAAGCA
rnacentral:lncRNA from 1 species